GGGCCCCACGGGGAAGCACCAGGGGCUGGUAGGAGGCAGAGACGUGGGCAGGAACCUUUACUGUGGUUUCUACAGGACGAAAAGGCAAGCCGCCCCCUUCGGCAGUGGAUGAACACCAGCGAUGUGUCUCUGGUCUCCUCGACCCAAAGAAGCGCGCCAUCGCUGACCCUUCCUGCCUCACUGUCCCCAUCACCUCCCACUUCUGGACUCCUGGCUCACAGGCCCCUGGUGGCUCCGCUGUGGCUCCUGCCUGCUUUUGCUGCACAGUGUUCUCAGCCUGAGAAAGCCUGAUGCACCCAAGCCCUGACCCCCAACCUUCACGCGAGUCUUUGGCAUCUAGUGGGAGAGACAGCAGCCUCCGGAUACAACACAGCUCGUACCCCAAGAGAGGCAGGUGCCAGCCCGACCGCCCAGUGGCCCUCCUGGCUCCGGUUCCAGAGUGCACACCUAUCCAGGUUCCCUGUCGCGGCUACAACAAACGACCUCAGCCACGGUGGCUUAAAGCUACGCAGAUUUAUGAGCCUGCAGUCCUAGAGGGCACAAGUCCUAAAAUCAAGGUGUUGGCAGGGCCAAGAUCGUCCCGGAGGCUUUGUGGCCGAUCUGUGUCCUCACCUCCUCCGCCUUCUAGAGUGGCCUGCACGCCCCGACUCAUGGCCUUCCUCCUCCUGCAAAGCCAGCCAUGAAGCACCUUCCGGUCUCUGCCUCUGCAGCCUGCUUCUGUCACCACUCUCCUUCUCUGACCCUCUGGCCUCCCUGUCCUCAGGACCCUUGUGAUGACAUGGGGCCACCUGGAUAAUCCAGGAUCAUCUCAUCUCCAGAGCCUUAACCACAUCUGCAGUCCCUUUUGCUAUGUAAGGUGACAUAUUCUCAGGUUCUGGGGAUCAGGACAAUGGACAUCUUGUGGGGGGGAGCAUUAUUCUGCCUGCCGCAGCACCCAUGGGGGUCACACUUCUGAGACAGGUACCCACGAAACACUUCUUCAGGGAAGGGAUAUGUGGACCCAGUUCUGGAAAAUGGUGGGUCACCCAGAUGUGAUCUGAAGGCCUUUGACAUCAGCCCGAGAAGCCAGGCAAGGGAGACCCCUUUCCAGGCUCAGUUCUGCAAAGUGAGGGAUUCUCACCCGGGGCAAUUCUGCCCCCAAGGGACACCUGGCAACGUCUGGAGAGAGAGGUGGUUGUCACAGCAGGAGAGGAGGGACGCCCCCUCACCACAAAGAAUCCUCUGGCCCAAUGGCCAGUGCCCCUACAGCAUAGCUACUCGCACCUGUCUCCUGGCCGUGUCUCCAAACCCCAAGGGGCUCCACCACCCCCUUGGAGGGUUUCUGCUCAAUGACCUUUGGCCUCUGACACCAGUCCCGCCUUUCUUGAGAAAAGCAGUUUUCAGUUUCUCCUGACCCUUGGCCUGCACUGGGUACAUUUGAGUGGGUUGGACACUCCUAGCUGGGGAAUUUGAAGGCCCAGGAAGAAGAGGAUGGAACAGGAGCAGUGCUUUCCACCCACCCCACCCCACCCUUCCCCACCCCUCCCCACCCCACCCCUCCCCAGGCUGACUGCCCUGGCCUCUGGGUCCCCAUGCUGGGAAAGUGAGGCAGAUGGUGUGCUAAGGACACUGGUCACUGGGUGGGGACUAAGCUAGUUCACUCACGCAGCACAGGGCAGCAGGUGACAGACCCGGGACAAAAGGAGGGAGUUGGGGGUGAGCUGUCCCCCUCCAUCUCCUUGUUGCUGCUGCCCUGUAACACAGUCAGCGACACCCCUGGAGUCAGAUGUGCGGUCACUGGGCCGGGGCAGGCGUGCAAGGGCCCCCAGCUUCGGGGGCCUGAUUUGCUGGUGGGGGCGGGGCUAGAGGCAGGCCCUGCCAGAACACAAUCAGCCCAGGCUAGGGUCUUGGAAGGGCCUGCUUCUUGUCCAUUCGGCCAGCAAACCUCUGACACCUGCCGGGUGCCGGGCCCUGUGCUGGGCAGCGGGGGUGACAAGACUCAGCCGGUCCCUCAAGGGGCCACAGUGACCAGGAAGAGCAGGGCUCAUGCUGGUGACUGCUUACCUGAGCUAGACCCCGUGCCGGGGGUCUCACCGCUGCUUUCUUCGUGGCAUGGUGGUGGGGGUAGGGGGACAGACUUACUGCCCUUCUAGGGGAAGGGACGGGGCACGUUGGCCAGGGAGGAGUCUGGGCCGAGCAAGCCCCCAGGCAGCAGUACAGAGAGGGGGAGGAAGGACAGCAUGUGUCCGUGGGGGCUCCCCUCGGUGUGAGACCGAGAAGACCCUUGCUCCUGGGGAUAGGAGGGUCGCUCUGGGAAGAUGGCCGGACCCCACUUUUACUCCUUGCUGCCCGUAGCUAAUCUGGCCGGCCUCUGUGGACUUCCAUGCGGCUGCUCUCUGGGCUGGAGUCCCUGAUGUAUGGCUCCCCAUCCCCCCACCGGGGCCCCAGGUCAGCCCCAUCCACAGAGAAUGGGGUGUCCAAGCCCCAGAAUCCUGCUUCCUGAAGCGUGGAAGGCUGGGCGGUGCCCACGGAUGACGAGGGGCCGCCUGAGCUCCUGGGCCAACCCCUGCGGGAACCCGGGGGGCUGUGGCACAAAUCACACACUUCCCUAGUGUUGUGGACUGAAUGGUGUCCCCACGUCCGGAACUCAUGUGUCACAGCCCCACCCUGCAGGACCUCAGAAUGUGACUGUGUUUGGAGAGAGGGCCUCUAAAGGAGGUGAUCAAGUUAAAAUGAGGCCAUCAGGGUGGGCCCUGAUCCAGUAUGACUGGUGUCCUUACAAAAAGGGGAAAUUAGGACACAGAUGCGCACCGAAGACCGUGUGAGGAUACGGGGGGGGUGGGGGGGGAGGCGGCCAUCUGCAGGCCAAGGAGGGACGCCUCAGAACAAACCAGCCCUGCCCACACCUGGAUCUUGGGCUUCUGGCCUCCAGAACGAACCAGGAGGAAAUAUUUUUUUAAACGAGAAGAAGACUGUAUUUAAAACAUACCAUCAGAUACAUAUAAUAGUAUCAACCGUUUAUUUAGGGGCGCCUGGUGUGUGACUCUUGAUCUUGGGGUUGUGGGUUUGAGCCCCAGGAUGGCGUACAAAGGACUCAAAAAUGAAAUCUUUAAAAAUACAACCAAAAACAUUUAUUUGAUGCUUUCAACGCGAGGAAACAAAUUUGUUGUUCAUAAACCACCCAGACCGGGCUGCCUGGUCAUGGCCGCCAGAGCAAACGCUACGUCCAGGGUCCAGGACGUACCUGAGACAGCGGCUUAUCGGGUGCCUACGGAUGUGGGGAAGGAACAAAGAUCAAGACAGACCCCCUCCUCCAUGGCCAUGGCUUCUCCACUCUCCUGUGUGGACCUGGUGCUUUAACUGCACUGAGGAGGGUCCUUCCCUCUAACCUCAACCAUCUUAAGCCACUGGGCCCCAGUUGAAUGGGGGAGUGGAAAGAACCCCCCCAAGAAGCCACCAUGAGCCGAUGACCCCCCACCCAGCUGAGGUCUCCUUCUCCACAGUGGUCCAUGCAAACUUUCUCCUCCGGACGCUCCUCUCUCCUAGACCCCACCCACCUCUCAUCUGCAUCCCACUUGGUCUUUCCUACUGUCCAUGCCCUUGGGCCCGUGCCCUACUCUCCCCCUCAUUUUUCCAGCCUGGGGUGGAGGGUCAUGUGCGGUGCAGGUGCGAUUCUGUGCCCCACCUUGUUCCCGUACAUCAUGAGCUCUUUAUUUAGCACCACGGUCCCAGCCAGUGGCCCCCCUCUGCCGAUCUCUGGGAACGUGUGAUCCUGCGCCCACUUGAUCCUUCUGUAAAAUGGGGCUAAGAGGACCCAGCUCAGAGGCUGACUGUGAAGACUGAACUGCAUCCACACAGUGGUCCGCCUGGAGGCGGGGAGCCCCUCUUAUUCCAUACGGUUGCAGGCCUCCUGUCUUUUCUAGCGGACGUGCAAUUCACCGAGCCAGCCUCACCUCUGGGCAUUCAGGUUGAUGCCAAGCCAAAGGAGAAAAAGUAACAUCCUCCUUCAGACAGCCCUUCCACGGGUGACUCAGGAUCACUGUGAGUGGUACGACCACAGGGGCAGAAUAUGAACCCUCUUCUGUGCUGGGCAGGUAUCUUAAAAUGGGUGUCUUCCCAAUUUAAUGGGGCUGCCGCCCCCGAAGAAAGCCAACGUGGGGGGUCCUGGCAUGAUCUUCACCUGGACUAGCCCUCAUCCUUGGGCCUCGACAACUCGGUGGGAGAGCUGCUCUGAGGUUUGUUGACUCUCCCCUCCUGCGAACUGUUUUUGAUCUUUGCUCCUUUGGUUCUUAUCGAUUUGUGUGAGCUUUUAAUAGACUGAUAACCCCUGGCUUGUUCCUAUCACACAACUGGCUCUUGACACAGAGUUCAGGGUGCCCGGAGCGCUCCGAGAAAGGCUGCUGGGUGUGCUUUGGGUAUUUUGUCUGGGGAGCUGGGAGGUUUGAAGAUUUUUUAUGAUACAGGGAGUGUGGGUGUUGAGGGGGGGGGGGGUGCAGAACCUGGUAACAGAAACAUCCAUCCUUUGGUGCUCCAGCCCCAGCUCGUCAGGGGCGGGUGGGAGGCACCGUGCACGUGGACUGUGGCGAGUACGUGAGUCCCUGGCCUGCUCCCUGGGGGCUGGAGGAAGAACAAGGCUGGAGAAGCGUCGCAGAGGCUACCUCCCUGCCAGUGACUCGCGAGCACGAAGUCUCCAGCUCAUUUAUAAAGACAAGAUCAGGGAAGCCAGCCUGGUGGUUUCUUAAAAAGUUAAACAUAGCGUUACCACGUGACCCAGCCAUUCCACUGCUGGCUGUACACCCAAGAGCGUGGAAACCAUGUUCGUAGGGGCGCCUGGGUGGCUCAGUUGGUUAAGCGUCUGACUUGAAUUUGGCUCAGAUCUCGACCCUA